UAGGGAAUCUUCGGCAAUGGGGGCAACCCUGACCGAGCAACGCCGCGUGAGUGAAGAAGGUUUUCGGAUCGUAAAGCUCUGUUGUAAGUCAAGAACGGGUGUGAGAGUGGAAAGUUCACACUGUGACGGUAGCUUACCAGAAAGGGACGGCUAACUACGUGCCAGCAGCCGCGGUAAUACGCAGGUCCCGAGCGUUGUCCGGAUUUAUUGGGCGUAAAGCGAGGGCAGGCGGUUUGAUAAGUCUGAAGUUAAAGGCUGUGGCUCAACCAUAGUUCGCUUUGGAAACUGUCAAACUUGAGUGCAGAAGGGGAGAGUGGAAUUCCAUGUGUAGCGGUGAAAUGCGUAGAUAUAUGGAGGAACACCGGUGGCGAAAGCGGCUCUCUGGUCUGUAACUGACGCUGAGGCUCGAAAGCGUGGGGAGCGAACAGG
rnacentral:rRNA from 1 species